UUCCUCCUGAGGGUCACAGAUUUAUAAGAGCAGUUUACAUCUAGUGCUGCCCUGCAGUGGUGAGGACCCAGACUUCAUGCACAAAGAUCAAGCUCUGAUUUCACACAUCUAAUAAGAACACGGACUUUCAGGUAGCUCAUAAAUUCCAGGAUCUCGUCCACUGCAUCAACAGGCAGAUGGAGUGCCAUCCCUACCAACAUCUCUACCAGCUCUACCUCUGCCUGAGGGAGUUCGUCCUUCUCCUCAAAUUUCUGUUCCCGGAAUAAAUGGUAAACCACCAUGACCACUAUUACCUUUGUUUGAAGACCUCCUCCUCCACUACCACCUUUCAUGGAGGUCCUUCUGCUCCGGGAUCAUCACUUGCUCCAAUUGACUGAAUGAAGCAGAAAUAAAUACGCAAACCUGAA